rnacentral:tRNA from 1 species
GGAGAUGUAUCUCAAAUGGUAGAGCGCUCGCUUUGCAUAUGAGAGGUAUGGGGUUCAAUACCUCACAUCUCCA